CUUGGUCAUUUAGAGGAAGUAAAAGUCGUAACAAGGUUUCCGUAGGUGAACCUGCGGAAGGAUCAUUAUUGAAUAAACCCUGGUUGGGUUGUGCUGGCCUCUAGGGGCAUGUGCACGCCUGCCACCGUUUUCAACCACCUGUGCACCUUUUGUAGACCUGGAUACCUCUCGAGGAAACUCGGUUUGAGGACUGCUGUGCCGUCAAGGCCGGCUCUCCUUGCUUUCCGGUCUACGUCUUCACAUACCCCAUAAGAAUGUAACAGAAUGUCUUUUACUGGCCUUAGUGCCUUUAAUCAAAUACAACUUUCAACAACGGAUCUCUUGGCUCUCGCAUCGAUGAAGAACGCAGCGAAAUGCGAUAAGUAAUGUGAAUUGCAGAAUUCAGUGAAUCAUCGAAUCUUUGAACGCACCUUGCGCUCCUUGGUAUUCCGAGGAGCAUGCCUGUUUGAGUGUCAUUAAAUUCUCAACCUAACCAGUUUUUACGAGCUUGGAUAGGCUUGGAUGUGGGAGUUGCGGGCUUCUCAGAAGUCGGCUCUCCUUAAAUGCAUUAGUGAAUUCUUUGUUGACCAUCCUUGGUGUGAUAAUUAUCUACGCCAUUGACUGAUCAGCUCUUAUGGGAUUCGCUUCUAACCAGUCCUUAGGACAACCCCUGACAUUUUGACCUCAAAUCAGGUAGGACUACCCGCUGAACUUAAGCAUAUCAAUAAGCGGAGGA
rnacentral:rRNA from 1 species